rnacentral:siRNA from 1 species
AGGGAUAGCUUGAUUGCGCUUGUU